rnacentral:rRNA from 1 species
CCUAUGGGAGGCUGCAGUGGGGAAUAUUGGACAAUGGGCGAAAGCCUGAUCCAGCCAUGCCGCGUGUGUGAAGAAGGCCUUCGGGUUGUAAAGCACUUUCAGUGGGGAAGAAAGCCUUGGGGCUAAUACCCUCGAGGAAGGACAUCACCCACAGAAGAAGCACCGGCUAACUCCGUGCCAGCAGCCGCGGUAAUACGGAGGGUGCGAGCGUUAAUCGGAAUUACUGGGCGUAAAGCGCGCGUAGGCGGUCUGAUAAGCCGGUUGUGAAAGCCCCGGGCUCAACCUGGGAACGGCAUCCGGAACUGUCAGGCUAGAGUGCAGGAGAGGAAGGUAGAAUUCCCGGUGUAGCGGUGAAAUGCGUAGAGAUCGGGAGGAAUACCAGUGGCGAAGGCGGCCUUCUGGACUGACACUGACGCUGAGGUGCGAAAGCGUGGGUAGCAAACAGGAUUAGAUACCCCGGUAGUC